rnacentral:lncRNA from 1 species
CAUUUAAUUCACGUACAAUUCAAUGACAUCAAAUUCAAAACUAAUACGUAUUUACCAUUUAACUCAAUGUUUAUUGAUUAUACCAUUCAAUAACAUAUUUAUGAAAUUCUCAAUUUAGCAAUGAAAAUAUCACUUUAGUUUGAAUAACAACAUCGUCCUGAUAUAAAUACACUACCACUUAUCCAUUUACUUUAAUUCUUUUGGGCCCAUUUGUCACUUACCAUCUUUAAUCAAAUUAGGGAACGGUCACGGAAAAAUUGAGUACUUCACUUUCACUUUGCCAUAGUAUA